UGGAGUUGCUUCUUCUUCUUCUUCAUCAUCGAUCUAGGAUGGGUUCCAGGCCGGCAGCCUGGGAUAGCAAGGAUGGACGUCGUUCUUCUUUUGUCGUUUGUUUUCGUCCGUAGUCGGACCCUGCUCUUACUCUUGACGAUUAUGUAAUGUACUGAUGUGACUCUGAUGUAGCUUGUGGCGAGUGUAAGCCAACUCUUUAUAUAUCUCAUCUUUUCAGUACAUGUACUUGUAACGAUAUCCAUUCUUGCGACACGACGAGAUGCGCUUCUA
rnacentral:lncRNA from 1 species